rnacentral:rRNA from 1 species
AGAACGAACGCUGGCGGCGCGUUUUAAGCAUGCAAGUCGGACGGCAAGGGCUGUAGCAAUAUGGCCCCUAGAGUGGCGAACGGGUGAGUAACACGUAGGUGAUCUACCUCUGGAUGGGGGAUAGCCUGUGGAAACACAGGGUAAUACCGCAUGAGGCCUUGAGGGUGAAGCCUUGGGGUGAAAGGUGCAAUUGCAUCGUCUGGGGAUGAGCCUGCGGUCCAUUAGUUAGUUGGCGGGGUAAGAGCCCACCAAGACGACGAUGGAUAGCCGGCCUGAGAGGGUGGACGGCCACACUGGAACUGAGACACGGUCCAGACUCCUACGGGAGGCAGCAGCUAAGAAUCUUCCGCAAUGGGGGAAACCCUGACGGAGCGACGCCGCGUGGAUGAUGAAGGCCGUAAGGUUGUAAAAUCCUUUUGUCGGUGAAGAAUAAGUGGGGGAGUGGAAAGCCUUCAUGAUGACGUUAGCCGACGAAUAAGCCCCGGCUAAUUACGUGCCAGCAGCCGCGGUAAUACGUAUGGGGCAAGCGUUGUUCGGAUUUAUUGGGCGUAAAGGGCGUGUAGGCGGCUCAUCAAGUCUGGUGUGAAAUCGCAGGGCUUAACCCUGCAUAUGCGCUGGAAACUGGUGGGCUAGAGUUCUUGAGGGGAAGCUGGAAUUCCAGGUGUAGGGGUGAAAUCUGUAGAUAUCUGGAAGAACACCGGUGGCGAAGGCGAGCUUCUAUCAGAGGACUGACGCUGAGGCGCGAAAGCGUGGGGAGCAAACAGGAUUAGAUACCCUGGUAGUCCACGCUGUAAACGAUGUGCACUAGGCGUGGGGCACGUACGUGUUCUGUGCCGUAGUUAACGUGUUAAGUGCACCGCUUGGGGAGUAUGCUCGCAAGGGUGAA